AUUGAACGCUGGCGGCAUGCUUUACACAUGCAAGUCGAGCGGCACCGCGGGGUCAACCCUGGCGGCGAGCGGCGAACGGGUGAGUAAUGCAUCGGAACGUAUCCUCGAGUGGGGGAUUACCCAGCGAAAGUUGGGCUAAUACCGCAUGCGCUCUGAUGUGGAAAGCGGGUGACCUGCCAUGGCCUCGCGCUGUAGGAGCGGCCGAGGUCCGAUGAGCUAGCUGGUGGGGUAUAGGCUUACCGAGGGGACGGUCGGUAGCUGGUAUGAACGGGUGAUCAGCCAGACUGUCAGUGAGACACGGCCGAGACUCCGACGGGAGGCAGCAGCGCGGAAUUUUAGACGAUGGGGGAAAGCCUGAUACAGCCAUGCCGCGGGAGUGAAGAAGGACUUCGGGUGGGAGAGCUAUUUCGGACGGAACGAAAUGGGCGGCACUAACACGCCUGUAUGAUGACGGUACCGUAAGAAGAAGCACCGGCUAACUACGUG
rnacentral:rRNA from 1 species